GCCCGGGUGCACUGGGGUGGGCAGGGCCCAGGAGCCGGGGGCUGCACAGGUGAUGGGAGCCCAGCCUUGGGGGCAGCUGGCAAGACACUCCUUCUGGGGGGGGAUGGGAAGGGGUCUCCAUCCCCCUUCAGAGAAUGCCCACCCAGGCAGCUGGCAAGCUGGGGGGAGCGUGAGCCUACCCAGACCCCCCCAGAACAAUGGGCUCGGAUCCGUACCCCCCAACACCAGGGAAGGCAGCAGGGAGAUGGGUUGGUGCAUGUGUGUUGCCUGUGGCCCUGUGUAUGUUGCCUGUGUGCCUAGGUUUACUCUCGGUGUGUGUGGUUAGCUGUCUGCGUGCGCUUGUUGUGUGCGUGUAUUUGUUUUCCCUGUUGUGUGUGUCCCUAUAGAUCCACAAACACACCCGUGCCACAAAGCGGGCACCGUGGCAGGCUGGCUUUCAUCCGAUGAGCCAAGUUCUUUCCGGAUAAAUAAACCUGGGAGUGGAGACUCCCUCCCGCAAUUGUGACAACCACCACAACGCAACAACAAGCCCACUCCGCGGCAGUGGCGUUCGGGCUACCCACGCGGCGAGCUGGCACGCGAGGGGCGCAGGGGACUCGCGCGCAGCCCUCGCCCCUUAGGUUUACACAGACACACCACACUGACCUGCUCACAGGAAAAGGCCAGGAUGAAAUGUCGCUCCCCGUCUCCCCCCCCCCCCACACCAGCUGUGAAGUUCGGGGCAUUCCAGAGCUCUUCAAACUACCACGGAUGCCUGGCAACCAACUGACAGUCGAGGUGGAAUGUCUCAAGCAUCCGAGCUGAGACCAAUGGGGACUGCUCCGAAUCGAGCCAGGGCCUGUGGCACGGCGGGGGUUAAUGAAAUGCCCCUGUACACGCUUCCCUUCAACCCCCAGGUUUCAUAAACCCUUUCGCCCAACUCGCCUACUCCCUUAUCAAUGAGAUUCCUUCGGCACAGCCUCGCUGUUAGGUCUGGGUGGGUCCAACCUCUGAUUAGAUAAAUGAACCUGAUAUUUCUCUUCUGAUUCAGGGGAAGGGCAGCGCGGAUGGGAGCUAAAUGAUGCCCAAAACAGGAGGGUUCACUCUCCAUACUUUGGGCGAGGAAAAAUAUGACCAGACUCAGGAUAAAGAGCGCGUCUUCGGAAGUGCAAGGAGACUGACUCGCCCCCCUCCCCCAAAAAAGCAGAGAGGGGUCCCAUGGGUGGCUGGGAAUUGAUAUAGGGCGCAGAUCGUUAUUCAGAGGAUCUGCUUAAAUCCCACUCGCGAUUAAAUCCCUCUCUCACAGGGCAGCAGCCGCAGGUACAGAGAAACAGCCGCACACCCGCGCUGUGUGUGACCCUGGUAUAUACACAACGCGGGUAGCGAGCAAAGAAAAGCGCUUCUGGGACCUCUCUCCUCCGUGGCCAGAUACAACGCGGGGCAUUAAAGCCUUUGCUACUGUACGGAGCGAGGUCCGGAGCGAGCCCAGCUGAGUUGACAGAGCUUUGCAAAGGGAUAUCAAAGGCAAGGAUUCAGGGCUGGCAAGCCAUCGCCAGGAGCUGUAUUUUUAACCCCCCUAAUGGCAUUUGCGACAUGGAAAAUCAGAGUGGCCCAGAUCCGACGUAGAGGAAGAUUUAGCCCCGAGACUU